rnacentral:lncRNA from 1 species
CUCCUUUACUACGGUAACGGUUUUCGCCAACCCGCCAGGACUCCAAAAAGGCUGUCCCUCUUUAUGACAAAAUCGGACAAGGGGAAAUGCACCGGCCGGGGGGUUGGCAGCGAGCCUGGACGGUGGUGGCAGCCACAGCCCCGCGCCCCAGCCGGGCAGCGAACGUGGCGCCAUCCAGCACCUUCCCCGGGAACCACGCGCAGCGUCUCGGCCUCGGCCGCUGCGGAGCUCGGAGCUUGUCUGGACCUGCUGGGAAGAGGGACGGACAUCUCCACGAUGGAGGCCUGCGGGUUGGCUGUGGUUCAUCUGAUUGAUGGCUUUCCGCUCCCCCGCGAGCCUCCUGGUGCACGGCUCCCUCAGAGCAGGCAAACUCAGCUGCUUCCUCGCUGUACAAGUUACUUCCUUGCUCCAAGCCCUGGGUUCCUCCUUGGUGGAUUAAGGAUUCCUACGUCAUAGAGAU